ACGGCUCAGUAACACGUGGACAACCUGCCCUCGGGAGGGGGAUAACCCCGGGAAACUGGGGCUAAACCCCCAUAGGUGAUGGAUACUGGAAUGUUCCAUCACCGAAAGUCCGCAAGGAGCCCGAGGAUGGGUCUGCGGCGGAUUAGGUAGUUGGUGGGGUAACGGCCCACCAAGCCGAAGAUCCGUACGGGCUGUGAGAGCAGGAGCCCGGAGAUGGACCCUGAGACAAGGGUCCAGGCCCUACGGGGCGCAGCAGGCGCGAAACCUCCGCAAUGCGGGAAACCGCGACGGGGUCAGCCGGAGUGCCGAUGCUCGCAUCGGCUGUCGGGGUGCCUAAAAAGCACCCCAUAGCAAGGGCCGGGCAAGGCCGGUGGCAGCCGCCGCGGUAAUACCGGCGGCCCGAGUGGCGGCCACUAUUAUUGGGCCUAAAGCGUCCGUAGCCGGGCUGGUAAGUCCUCCGGGAAAUCUGGUCGCUUAACGAUCAGACUUCCGGAGGAUACUGCUGGCCUAGGGACCGGGAGAGGCCGAGGGUAUUCCCGGGGUAGGGGUGAAAUCCUGUAAUCCCGGGAGGACCACCUGUGGCGAAGGCGCUCGGCUGGAACGGGUCCGACGGUGAGGGACGAAGGCCAGGGGAGCGAACCGGAUUAGAUACCCGGGUAGUCCUGGCUGUAAACGAUGCGGACUAGGUGUUGGGCAAGCUAAGGGCUUGUCCGGUGCCGCAGGGAAGCCGUUAAGUCCGCCGCCUGGGGAGUACGGCCGCAAGGCUGAAACUUAAAGGAAUUGGCGGGGGAGCAC
rnacentral:rRNA from 1 species